rnacentral:lncRNA from 1 species
AAGAAGAAGAAGAAGGAGCUCCUCCCCACGGAGUGCCUUGGGGCUUUGGGCUCCAUGCCCGGGGACGGAGCCCUGCCCCCCAUCGCAUAGGGAUGCGCGCUCGGCGCCCCUCUUGAGUCAGAGCUGGGGGCUCCCACCGGUGAGGCCCCUAGCUUGGUCAGUGAGGCGGAGGCGGCGUUCGAGCACAUCCCGAGGGAGCGCUCUAGAGCACGUCUGACCAGCUCUCGCGAGUCCGUCAUCAGAGAAAUCCGAGAACUUCGUGAGGCCCAGGCCAUGCGAUGCGGUGACUGCACUGCACCACCAAUCGCAGUCGCCGUCGUCGGCACGGUUGACCAACCCCGCAUCUGCAUCAACGCGUCUGCAACCAACAUAGCCGCGGCACAUGGCCCCUUCUGGCCCAUACUGACUGGCUACCAGUGGGAGUACCCGGGCACCAACGCCUUCAUGCCCUUCGGGCUGGGGAACGCGGUUGCCACUUACCAGAUGCCACGAGGAGGAGGAGGAGAUGCUCGGGCCAAGUGAAGGCCCCGAGCCUCGGGAGGCGGCGGACCCGUGAGGGUCACGACCGCAGAGACAAGAGAUCAAGCGACGGAGCCUCCAGCACUUCAGCGGCUCGGCCGCGAGGUGACUUUUUGUUGGCUGGUGCUAGGUAACUUUUCGGUUCACCCCGUCUGAGGGCAACCCGGGGCCAUGCAGCCUCCCCUAGCUCCGGACUUUCCCUAGCUACUACUUUUGAUUAUGCGUCGUUUGGUUAUUCAAUUUCACCUGUUUGGCAUUCUAACGUUCUGCCUUGGUUAUAUUGUCGGGCGGUCGUGUGACAGCCCGAGACCGACGCCCCAGAAGAUUCCCCCUUUAUUUCCAUUUCCGUCGUGUGAUUAGUUUUAUUUGUUGCAUCAUCAUUUAGUUUGCAUCGUCGCAUCAUGCAUGGCAUCUUGCAUCGUCUGUCGCGUGUGGUGUUUUGAGUGUGUGUGCUUCGAGUGCUCUCCAAGUCUUGGUGCGGUAGUAACUCCCCUCCUCUCUUCUCUUUUAUUUGUUUUGGGUUGCGUAAAAGUUUCCGUUUUAACCCCUUUUAAAAAUCGUCUUCUUUUAAAACUCCUUCUGUUAAAAGGUGGGGGCAACCCCUUGGGUUUUUCUCUUAUUUUUUCUUUUGUUUCAUUUCAACUAGAGUUACAUUUUUAUUUCUAAAAGGGGUUUGAUUUUAUUCUUUUAUGAAAAGGGUUUUUAUUAUUUCUCAAAAGGUUUCAUCUUAUUCUUUUAAAAGCCCAAUCUAUUUCUUAUAGUUGGGGUUUAAUUUUCAAAUGAGCAAAAUCAUUUUUUUUUAUUUUGUUAAACGUUUUUCUUUUGUUUAAGCUUUCUGUUUUAAAGUAAAAAAAAUUAAGAGAGAGGGAGAAAGCAAGCCUGGCCAAGGCCCAGGCCAGGCCCAGGCCCAGAUCCCCGUGCCCUAGCGCCCCAGCCGACCCCCAUCUCUCUCGUUUCUUCCUCCCCCCGAUUCCCUCUUCCUCCCGCAGCGCAGCCCCUCUCGUCUCCUCCCCCUCGCCCGAUUCCCUCUUCUGCCCCGCCGCCAGCACCUCCCUCUGCCCAGCCACGCGCAAGCCCUAACCGCCGAUGUGCCCUCGGCCCCCUCGCUGCCUCCUCCCCCACUGGUCGCCGUCCCCACGCCAUGGUCUUCGCCGGCCUCAACUGCCCGCCUGCGCCCUCCGGCAGCCCUCAUCGCCGCGCCAUGGCCUCUCCCGGUAGUCGUCGUUCCCCGCCGAGCCUAUAUGUUGUUGCUGUUUUGAGCUGUUGCCGCUGCCUGAUACGUCUCAAACGUAUCUAUAAUUUUUGAUGGUUUCAUGUUGUUAUCUUGUCAUCUUUGGAUGUUUUAUGUACCUUUUAUAUCUUUUUUGGGACUAACUUAUUAAUUCAGUGCCAAGUGCUAGUUCCUGUUUUUUCUCUGUUUUUCGCUCUUUUCAGAUCUGAUUUUGGAACGGAGUCCAAACGGAAUAAAAUCCCCGAAAUAAUUUUUUCCCAAACGGAAGAAGAUCACGGGGCUUGAGGGCCAAGCUAGGAGGGCUACACGGGGGCCACAAGCCCCCCAUCCGCACCAGGGGGCGGCGAAUGGCAGGCUUGUGGCCUCCCUGGCGCCCCCCUGACCUAGAUCCUUCGCCUAUAUAUUCCCUAAAAUACAGAAAAAAAUCAAGGGAUCCACGAAAAUACUUUUCCGCCGCCGCAAGCUUCCGUUUCCGCGAGAUCUCAUCUGGAGACCCUUCCCGGUGCCCUGCUGGAGGGGACUUUGGAGUUGGAGGGCUUCUACAUCAACAUCAUCACCUCUCCAAUGACUCGUGAGUAGUUCACUUCAGACCUACGGGUCCAUAGUUAGUAGCUAGAUGGCUUCUUCUCUCUCUUGGAUCUUCAAUACAAAGUUCUCCAUGAUCUUCAUGCAGAUCUAUCCGAUGUAAUCCUCUUUGGCAGUGUGUUUGUAGAGAUCCGAUGAAUUGUGGAUUUGUGAUCAGAUUAUCUAUGAUAUAUAUUUGAGGCUUUGUUGAUUUCUUAUAUGCAUGAUUUGAUAUCCUUGUAAGUCUCUCCGAGUCUUGGGUUUUGUUUGGCCAACUAGAUCUAUGAUUCUUGCAAUGGGAGAAGUGCUUGGUUUUUGGGUUCUUACCGUGUGGUGACCUUUCCCAGUGACAGUAGGGGCGGCAAGGCACACAUCGUGUAGUUUCCAUCAAGGGUAACAAGGUGGGCUUUGUCGUAGAUAUGAGAUUGUCCAUCUACAUCAUGUCAUCUUGCGUAAGGCGUUACUCUGUUCUUUUGGACUUAAUACACUAGAUGCAUGCUGGAUAGCGGUCGACGUGUGGAGUAAUAGUAGUAGAUGCAGAAAGUAUCGGUCUACUUGUUUUGGACGUGAUGCAUAUAGAUAUAAUCAUUGCCAUAGAUGAUGUCACGACUUUGCGCAGUUCUAUCAAUUGCUCGACAGUAAUUUGUUCACCCACCGUCUACUUGCUUUCAUGAGAGAAGCCACUAGUAAACACUACGGCCCCCGGGUCUAUUCACACCUACCGUUUCCACUUUUGCUUUUACUUUGCUUUGUUACUUUGUUGCUUUCAGUUCUCACUUGGCGAACAAUCUAUUUGGGAUUGACAACCCCUUCAUAGCGUUGGGACCAAGCUUUUUGUGUUUGUGCAGGCACUUGAGAUACUCCUUCACUGGAUCGAUACCUUGGUUCUCAAACUGAGGGAAAUACUUACCACCGCUGCGCUACAUCACCCUUUCCGCUUCGAGGGAACACCAACGCAAGGCUCCAAGGCCACGGGGAAAAUCCUUUGCAUAUUUGCCUAGGAAGUCCCUUAAGGCGUAGCCGUAGCAGAAGGAUUUCUGGCGCUAUUGCCAGGGAGGAGCACGUCAAGAUAAUUUCCCGACAACGUGCCUAUUUCUGGCAUCGUUGGAAGGUCUUUUGUUGCAGUAGCAGAAGUAUUUCUGGCGCCGUUGCCGGGAAGGAGAGAUCUAUCCAAGUAGGUCUCACAAACUCAUCUCUUGCAUUUACUUUUUUGCCAGUUGCCUCUCGUUUUCCUCUCCCCCACUUCACAUUUGCCGUUUUCGUUUGCCUUUCUCCUUUGUCGUUUUCUUUUGCUUUUUGCCUUUUUGCCAUUCCCUUUCGCCCGCCUGCUCUUAGGCUUGUCCGUGAGAGACCUUUCCUCAUGGCCAAAUCAAACUAUUUCAGAAAAUUGGAGGAGAUUGAAACUAAUGUCAAAGGUUUCAUGUCUUCUCAGUUUGACCAAAAUAGUUACUUCCGUAGGGAAUUAAAAGAGCAAAAUUCCUUUUUGGUCUGUUUGAAUAAAGAGGUUGAUGAUAUGGCCAAUGAUUUCCUUGCACUUAAUUCUCAGCUUGCUCACCUUGAAAAAUUGGUGGGCCAAAUUUCUCACAAGCAGGCUACCUUAGUUAAUAAGAUGGCAGCUAAACCUGAAAUUUGUGAUGCAAAUCACGAAGAUCUUAAAGUGCUUGGUGUGUCUCCUCUUGAAUCUUUGUUUUCGCGUGUCAAACCUAUUGAUGGAGGGGCUGGAUAUGAAUCCACUUUGGUUGAAAAACGCCCCAAUGAUUCGGAGUCCACCCAUCUUGAUGAUAAAGGUGUGGAGAGUGGAGUAGAAGAAAUCAAAAUUUUGGGUAGUAAUAAAACUCCCACUUUGGAUUUCAAGGAAUUCAAUUAUUAUAAUUGCUCCUUGUUUGAAUGCAUCUCUUUGAUGCAAUCCAUUGCAAACUCUCCACAUGUUUAUAACCAAAGCAAAGCCUUUACCGCGCAUGUCGUAGAUGCUAUGAUGAAAUCUCUUGAAGAGAAGCUCGAAUUAGAAAUCUCUAUACCUAGAAAACCUCAUGAUGAGUGGGAACCUACUAUCAAAAUCAAGAUAAAAAACUAUGAGUGCAAUGCUUUGUGUGAUUUGGGUGCUAGUGUUUCCGCGAUUCCAAAGUCUUUAUGUGAUAUUCUUGGUUUUCAUGAGAUUGAAGAGUGUUCUCUUAAUUUGCAUCUUGCGGAUUCUACUGUCAAGAAACCCUUGGGAAGGAUCGAUGAUGUUCUUAUUGUUGCAAAUAAGAACUAUGUACCCCUGGAUUUCAUUGUACUUGACAUAGAUUGCAACCCUUCAUGUCCCAUUAUUCUUGGUAGACCUUUCCUAAGGACUAUUGUUGCUAUCAUCGAUAUGAAGGAAGGGAAUGUUAGAUUUCAAUUUCAUUUAAAUAAGGGCAUGGAGCACUUUCCUAGAAAGACAAUAAGAUUGCCUUAUGAAUCUAUGAUGAGGGCUACUUAUGGUUUGAGCACCAAAGAUGACUAUACGUGAUUCCAUCACCUUUCGCCUAGCUAAGGGCGUUAAAUAAAAUCGCUUGUUGGGAGGCAACCCAACGAAUCUAUCCUUUUUCUUUCUAUUUUGUGUUUUCCACACUUUCAUAAUUCUGUUAUGAUUGUGUUUUUUGUGUGUUUUUUGCGUUUGUGUCAAGCAAAACCGUUAUGAUUAGUCUUGGGGAUGAUCGUUUGGUCAUGCUGGAAAAGACAGAAACUUUCUGCUCACGAAAAGAAUUUUCAUUUUUUCUGUAAGAGCUUUUGAGUUGAUUAUUUUUGCUUCCGAUUUCUAUGCAAAUUCUACAGACUAACGUAAUUUUCAGAAUUUUUGAAGUACCAGAAGUAUAUGAAAUAUACAAAUUGCUACAGACUGGUCUGCUGUUAACAGAUUCUGUUUUUGUUGUGUUGGUUGCUUAUUUUGAUGAAACUAUGGAUAGUAUCGGGGGGUAUUAGCCAUGUAAGAUUGAAAAUACAGUAACCCAACAUCAGCAUAAGUAGAAUUUAAGUUUUCUACAGUACCUAAGGAAGUGGUGGUUUGCUUUCUCAUACUAAUGUUAUCACGAGUUUCUGUUUAAGUUUCGUGUUGUGAAGUUUUCAAGUUUUGGGUGAAGUUCUUAUGGACAAAGAGAUAAAGAGUGGCAAGAGCUCAAGCUUGGGGAUGCCCAAGGCACCCCAAGAGAUUCAAGGAUACCGUAAAAUCCUAAGCUUGGGGAUGCCCCGGGAAGGCAUCCCCUCUCUCGUCUUCAAUCCAUCGGUAACGUUACUUGGGGCUAUAUUUUUAUUCACCACAUGUUAUGUGUUUUUUGCUUGGAGCGUCUUGUAUCGUAGGAGUCUUUUAUUUUUGUUGUGUCACAAUCAUCCUUGAUGCACACCUAGAGAGAGAUACAUGCACUCACCGUGAUUUUGUCGAGCUUCACUUAUAUCCUUUGGUAGACAAUUCAGCUCACAUGUGCUUCACUUAUAUCUUUUGAGCUAGAUACUUUUGCUCUAUGUGCUUCACUUAUAUCUUUUAGAGCACAACAGUGCGUGGCUUGGUAGUUGAUCUUUGCUUUGAAAGUAGUCUCAAAAGGGGUAGUUAUCCAAAGGGAUACGAAAACUUCCACCUUCAUGUGCAUUGAAUAGUUAGAGAAGUUUGAUUCAUCUCAUUUAGUUUUGAGUUGUGGUUAUGGUAAUAUUGAAGUCAUGCUAGUAAGGUGUUGUGGAUCUUGAAAUACUUGUGUUGAAGUUAGUAAUUCUCGUAGCAUGCACGUAUGGUGAACCGCUAUGUGAUUAAACCUGAGCAUGAUUAGUCUAUUGAUUGUCAUCCUUUGCGUGGCGGUCGGGAUCGCGUGAUGGUUUAUACCUACCAACCCUUCCCCUAGGAGUAUGCGUUGAAUGCUUUGUUUCGAUUACUAUUAAAACUUUUGCAACAAGUAUAUGAGUUCUUCAUGACUAAUGUUGAGUCCAUGUUUUAGAUGCACUUUCACCUUACACCGUCACUAUCUUCUUAGUGUCGUGCAACUUUCGCUGGUGCACAAAACCCACCAUUAGCCUCCCUCAAAACAGCCACCAUACCUACCUACUAUGGCUUUUUCAAAGUCAUUCCGAGAUAUAUUGCCCUGCAACUACCACCAUGACAUGUGCCACCACGUCUACAUUGCCAUUGCAUGAUCGUAAGAUAGCUAGCAUGAUGUUUCCAUUAAUGUCUAUGCCAUGCUAGAUCAUUGUCACGGUACACUACCGAAGGCAUUCCAUAUAGAGUCAUCGUUGCUCUAAGUUUUGAGUUGAAAGUGUGAUGAUCAUCAUUAAUGGAGCAUUGUCCCAUGUGAGGAAAUAAAAGAGGCUAAAGAUGCCCACCCAAAAAAAGAGGCCAAAGAGCCCACCAAAAAAAUAAAAAAAUGAGAGAAAAAGAGAGAAAGUACAAUGCUACCACUUUUCCACACUUGUGCAUAUUAAGCACCAUGAUCUUCAUGAUUGAGAGUCUCUCGUUUUGUCACCACCAUAUAGCUAGUGGGAAAUUUUCAUUAUAUAACUUGGCUUGUAUAUUCCAAUGAUAGGCUUCCUCAAAACUGCCUUAGGUCUUCGUGAGCAAGCAAGUUGGAUGCACACCCACUAGUUUUCUUUAAGAGAUUUCACAUACUCUUAGCUCUACUACAUCAUUUGUAUGGCAAUCCCUACUCAUUCACAUUGAUAUCUAUUGAUGAGCAUCUCCACAUCUCAUUGAUAUGCCUAGUUAAUGUGAUCAUCUUCUCUUUUUUUGUCUUGCAACCUCCACCACACUCCACACAUAAUGCUAAAACCAUGGCUCACGCUCAUGUAUUGCGAGAGAGUUGAAAAGGUUUGAGAAAGUAAAGGUGUGAAACAAUUACUUGGCCAAUACCGGGGUUGUGCAUGAUUUAAAUUCGUUGUGCAAUGAUGAUAGAGCAUAGCCAGACUAUAUGCUUUUGUAGGGAUAACAUUCUUUUAGCCUUGUUAUUUUGAAAGUUCAUGAUUACCUUGCUAGUUUGCUUGAAUUAUUAUUGUUUCCACGUCAAUAGCAAACUAUUGUUUGAAUCUAAUGGAUCUGAACAUUCACGUCACAUAAGAGGAGUUACAAAGGACAUCUAUGCUAGGUAGCAUGAAAGCAUCAAAAAUUCAUUCUUUAUCACUUCCCUACUCGAGGACGAGCAGGAGUUAAGCUUGGGGAUGCUUGAUACGUCUCAAACGUAUCUAUAAUUUUUGAUGGUUUCAUGCUGUUAUCUUGUCAUCUUUGGAUGUUUUAUGUACCUUUUAUAUCUUUUUUGGGAAUAACUUAUUAAUUCAGUGUCAAGUGUCAGUUCCUGUUUUUUAUGUGUUUUUGGCUCUUUUCACAUUUGAUUUUGGAAUGGAGUCCAAACAGAAUAAAAUCCCCAAAAUAAAUUUUUCCCGAACGGAAGAAGAUCAGGGGGCUUGAGGGCCAAGCCAGGAGGGCUACAGGGGGCCCACCAGCCCCCCAUCCGCCACUAGGGGGACGGCGGAUGGCAGGCUUGUGGCCUCCCUGGCGCCCCCCUGACCUAGAUCCUUCGCCUAUAUAUUCCCUAAAAUACAGAAAAAAAUCAAGGGAUCCACGAAUAUACUUUUCCGCCGUCGCAAGCUUCCGUUUCCGCGAGAUCUCAUGUGGAGACCCUUCCCGGUGCCCUGCCGGAGGGGACUUUGGAGUUGGAGGGCUUCUACAUCAACAUCAUCACCCCUCCAAUGACUCGUGAGUAGUUCACUUCAGACCUACGGGUCCGUAGUUAGUAGCUAGAUGGCUUCUUCUCUCUCUUGGAUCUUCAAUACAAAGUUCUCCAUGAUCUUCAUGGAGAUCUAUCCGAUGUAAUCCUCUUUGGCGGUGUGUUUGUCGAGAUCCGAUGAAUUGUAGAUUUGUGAUCAGAUUGUCUAUCAUAUAUAUUUGAGUCUUUGCAGAUUUCUUAUAUGCAUGAUUUGAUAUCCUUGUAAGUCUCUCCGAGUCUUGGGUUUGUUUGGCCAACUAGAUCUAUGAUUCUUGCAAUGGGAGAAGUGCUUGGUUUUGGGUUCUUACCGUGUGGUGACCUUUCCCAGUGACAGUAGGGGCAGCAAGGCACACAUCGUGUAGUUUCCAUCAAGGGUAAGAAGGUGGGCUUUGUCGUAGAUAUGAGAUUGUCCAUCUACAUCAUGUCAUCUUGCUUAAGGAGUUACUCUAUUCUUUACGACUUAAUACACUAUAUGCAUGCUGGAUAGCGGUCGACGUGUGGAGUAAUAGUAGUAGAUGCAGAAAGUAUCGGUCUACUUGUUUUGGACGUGAUGCCUAUAGAUAUAAUCAUUGUCAUAGAUGACGUCAUGACUUUGCGCGGUUCUAUCAAUUGCUCGAUAGUAAUUUGUUCACCCACCGUCUACUUGCUUUCAUGAGAGAAGCCACUAGUAAACACUACGGCCCCGGGGUCUAUUCACACCUACCGUUUCCACUUUUGCUUUUACUUUGCUUUGUUACUUUGUUGCUUUCAGUUCUCACUUGGCGAACAAUCUAUAAGGGAUUGACAACCCCUUCAUAGCGUUGGGACCAAGCUUUUUGUGUUUGUCCAGGCACUUGAGAUACUCCUUCACUGGAUCGAUACCUUGGUUCUCAAACUGAGGGAAAUACUUACCACCGCUGCCCUACAUCACCCUUUCCGCUUCGAGGGAAGACCAAUGCAAGGCUCCAAGGCCACGGGGAAAAUCAUUUGCAUAUUUGCCUAGGAAGUCCCUUAAGGCGUAGCCGUAGCAGAAGAAUUUCUGGCGCCGUUGCCAGGGAGGAGCACGUCAAGAUAAUUUCCCGACGACGUGCCUAUUUCUGGCGCCGUUGGAAGGUCUUUUGUUGCAGUAGCACUGUCGACCGCUUGUUGUUGCGGCUGCUCUACUGCUUGUUGUGCCGCCGAUGCCGAGCUAGUUGUUUGCGUGCAAGUGCUAUUGCUUGCCGAGGCUGCUGCUGGCCGAUGCAUGCCGCCGCAGUUGCUCUUGCUGCCAAGCCGUUGCUUGCUUGCGCCGCUGCCGUUGUGUGUUGUGUCAUAGUUGUUGCUUGCAUUUUUGCAUGCUGGCUGCUUGCUGCGCUUCGUGCUAGCCUGCUAGAUAGUUGCUAGUUGUUGUGCUAGGUAGCUGCAGGAUGUUGUUUUCUAGUUGAGGUAGGAUGCUUGUUGUUGUUAGUUGUUGUGUUAGUUGUAGCUGCUAGUUGUGUUUGCUCCUAGCUGUUGCUGAUGCGUGCCGCAAGAGCAUGCUAGGUUUCUAGCUGAGGCAUGCUAGUUGCUAGAUAUUAGUUGCUGCCGCUUGUAGCCGUGGCCUCCGCUCGCAUUUGCUCGUGCUACCGCCUGCGUCGCCGCGUGCGCCGUUCCCCUCCGUCGUGGAACCGACAAGAUCGUCGUGCACCACUACGUCCUCGACGACCCCCGGACCUGUGUUCGACUCCCGACGCCGAAGACACGUGCACCAACGCCAAGCGAACGACUACCAUCGACGAGACCUGAGAACCACAACGAUCCUUGUUCUCCUUCACCGCUACGAACCGAACCCCUCCGAUUCGCACGCCUCGAAGGUAUACCGAUGGGACGUUGUCGUGAAACGAAUGCAUAUGAUGUAUGAGAUGUAUCGUAUGUUUGCGUCGUAUGUUUGCCCGUUGCACGUUGUAUCUCUAUCGUCGCGCACUCGACACAUGGGAACCCGGUAGCGGGAUCACCCCAUCUUUAUUUAGCGUUCCCGCACACGCUCCCUAUUCGUUGGCACGUUAUCUCGAUGAGUUAUCGGGAUAGGAACGUUGCCGUGGCUUCGUUUCCGUCUUGCCGCCUUAGUACCCCUUUCGCUCGCCGUUGCGACACAUGCUUAUUUUCCCUUCUUGCCGUGAUGUUAUGAACUUGCAUGCAUGUCACAUUCUUGGCAUAAUAUCGUGUGUGCACGUCUCUUGUAACCAUGGAUCCGUUCUAUGCUCCAUGUGUUAACCGACUAGGAUGACAUGUAGGAUCAUCGCUUCACCCCUUGCCAUGUUAACAACAAUUAAAUAUUGCCGUGUUACUAAUCGGGAGUGAAUUAAAUAAUUAAUCGUGGAGUUUCGUCGAUAUGCAACUUGUUGCAUAUCGAGCUUCACUUAAUGUGUAGAGUUUGCGUGAGGUGAAUUGCCAUGCCAUCCCUUGCAUCAUUGAACUGAUCAUGCAUCAUGUUGUGCAUCGUGUGGUGAAUAUUUGUAUUUAUGUUUGUUUCCGGUUUGCUCCGUCUCGAUAGAGUUCCGCAAGCGUGUCGGAAUGUGAGGACCCGUUCGACUACGUUGGUUCGUCUGCUUCACCGAGUUGUUCUUCUUCCAAGCGGGAUCUCAGGCAAGAUGACCAUUUCCCCAGAUACCAUUACUAUCAUUGCCAUGCUAGUUUUAUCGUCUCUACCGUUUAAGUCUCGUUUCCUACCACAUGUUAUAUAUGAGCCUCUAAACAAUGCCAUGAAACCUUGAACCUGUUCGACCUAGCAAACCACUGAUUGGCUAUGUUACUGCUUGCUUAACCUUAUUGUUAGCGUUGCUAGUUGUAGGUGCAGUUGCUUCCAUGUGAUAACAUGGGUUCCUUAUUAUAUCACCAUAUUAAAUGCUAUUUAAUUUAAUGCACCUAUAUACUUGGUAAAAGGUGGAAGGCUCGGCCUUUCUAGCCUGGUGUUUUGUUCCCCCUUUGCCCCCUUAGUUUCGGCUACCGGUGUUAUGUUCCAUACUUGAGAGCUCCUAACAUGAUCGGGGUUGUUAUGGGGACCCCCUUGAUAAUUCGUUUUAGAUUAAAGCUGGUCUGGCAAGGCCCAACUUUGGUACUACAUUUGCCUAACAACUAAUGAACUGCAUAUGGAGUAAUUAACCCGAGGAAAUUUAAUCAACCCCCGUGCCAGUGGUCCUCAUGAGUGUUGGUCCAAAAUGGACAGACUGCGGGGCCACCACGGGGCAACUCGAGGUUUGGUACCUAUAGGCUUUUCCAUCUGUCGUGUCCUGAGAACGAGAUACGCGGCUCCUAUCGGGAUCGUCAACACGUCGGGCGGCCUUGCUGGAUUAGUUUUACCUUUGACGGAAUAUCUUGUGCAUCGGGAUUCCGGUGAUGCUUUGGGUAAUCUCAGAGUUGAGGUUUUCCACUAGGGAAUCCGACGAUAUUCGCGAGCUUCGUGAUUGAGGAUUUCUAUGCGGCUUGUGGUAAUUUGUGAUGGACUAAUUGGAGCACCCCUGUAGGGUUAAAUCUUUGCGGAAAGCCGUGCCCGCGGUUAUGUGGCAACGUGGAAACUUUGUUUAACACUGGUUCUAGAUAACUUGAAAUUAACUUAAUUAAAAUAUGUCAACUGUGUGCAUAACCGUGACUGCCUCCUUCGUGAGUUCCUUCUCCGAUCGAGGACAUGGUGGGGUUAUGUCUGACGUAGGUAGGUGUUCAGGAUCAUUCAUUUGAUCAUCAGUAGUUCACGUCCGUUAUGCGUAGAUCUUCCCCCUCUUAUUUCUUGUACUCGUAAGUUAGCCACCAUAUAUUUAUUCUUAGCCGCUGAUGCAACCUCACCACUUAACCAUGCCUCACCCAUUAAGCUUUGCUAGUCUUGAUACCUUUGGAAAUGAGAUUGUUGAGUCCUGUGUGGCUCACAGAUUACUACAACACCAGUUGCAGGUACACGUAAAGGUUACUCGAUGCGAGCGCGUUGAUUGUUCAUUUGGAGUUGCUUCUUCUUCUUCUUUUCUUCUUCUUCAUCGAUCUAGGAUGGGUUCCAGGCUGGCAGCCUGGGAUAGCAAGGAUGGACGUCAUUCUUAUUUUCUCGUUUGAUUUCGUCCGUAGUUGGACCCUCUCUUACUCUUGAUGAUUAUGUAAUGUACUAAUGUGACUCUGAUGUAGCUUGUGGCGAGUGUAAGCCAAUUCUUUAUAUAUAUAUAUAUCUUCUUUUCAGUACAUGUACUUGUAAUGAUUUCCAUUCUUGCGACAUGACGAGAUGCGCUUCUAUCCGUGAUGAGGCCCCCGUGCCAAAUUGAGGAUAGGGUCGCAUCUUGGGCGUGACAGGUCCCCCCCCCCCCCCCCCGCUUGGGGGCUCCGGUCAAAGUAUGUCCAUGCAGAUACGCAACCUCGCUCCCAAAGAAGAAGAAGUCGACAGGGUUUGCCAAUGACCCAAACCAAGUCAACUCAGUCCACCGAUGACUCGGGGGUAGGGACACUCAUGAGGCCAUAGCGUCCUCGCGACCUCCCAUAUACACCCCACCGUGACACUCUCACGUAAUAACGAGCCGAGGCUGUAUACACCGAGGGCCCCCCGAAGACGCGGAGGGGUCCAUCCCACACCAAGGGCAGCCCUAUACUUCGCGCUGGGGAGAAGAUUAGGUCCCAAUGCCUCGGGGGUAGGGACACUCGCGAGGCCAAAGCAUCCUCGCGACCUCCCAGAUACACCCCCACCGUGAAACUCUCAUGUAAUAACGAGCCGAGGCUAUAUACGCCCAGGGCCCCCCGAGGACGCGGAGGGGUCCAUCCCAUGCCUAGUGGAAGACCUAUGCUCCGUGCUGGGUACAGAUAGGGGCAAUCAACAUAGUCCGCCAAUGACUAUGCCCUCACCUAGCACCAAUGCAGUCCAGCAAUGACUACGCCCCCAGCUGACACCAACACAACCCGUCAGUGGCUACACCCUCGGCCGGAAAGGAGAUCAACGCAGUCCACCCACGACUUCGCCCAUACCCAGCGUAUGGGGAAAACAGCUGAAGGUACGGAGUCACUCGCACGUCAAGGGGGACCCCUGAGCAUCGUGACUCAGGGGGCUAACUGUGCCCGUAGCCCCUUCCUCCUUUGGGCCGUCCUUGGACGGUUCAAUCGCGGGAAGGUAUGCGCGGGGCGGGCCCUGCCGACGCAGAGCCGAGUCCGCUCGGCAAAUAGCGUCGGAUCCCUUAGGAAGAACGUUGGAGUCACUCGCUCGGCAAAUAGCGUCGGAUCCCUUAGGAAGAACGUUGGAGUCACUCGCUCGGCAAAUAGCGUCGGAUCCCUUAGGAAGAACGUUGGAGUCACUCGCUCGGCAAAUAGCGUCGGAUCCCUUAGGAAGAACGUUGGAGUCACUCGUACGUCAAGCGGGACUCCUGAGCAUCAUGACUCAAGAGCCUGAACUGUGCCUGUAGCCCCUUUCCCUUUUGAGCCGUCCUUUUCCGGUCGGUUCAACCACGGGGAGGUACGUGCGGGGCGGGCCGUGCAGACGCAGAGUGGUGAAGGAGUUCAAGAGUCUUAUAUCAUCGGUUUCUUAGGAGGAGCAUCAGAGUCGCUCGCACGUCAAGGGGGACCCCUGAGCAUUGCGACUCAGGGGCCUAAUUGCGCUCGUAGCCCUCCCCCCUUUGGGCCGUCCUUGGUUUCCGGUUGGUUCAAUCGCAGGGAGGUACGCGCGGGGCGGGCCCUGUCAACGCGGAGUGUUGAAGGUGUUCCAAGUUUCGGAAUCUUCGCCAUGUUCUCCUAAUGAGGGCAGCUCGCGCGUCAAGGGGGACUCGUGAGCAUCGUGACUCAGGAGCUUAACUGCACUCGUAGCCCCUUCCCCCUUUGGGCCGUCCUUGGUUUCCGGUCAGUUCAAUCGUGGGAAGGUACGCGUGAGGCGGGCCCUGCCGACGCAGAGUAACAUAGCAAACAUGACGGGAACAAGGCGGGGAAAACAUUCAAGCAUUCAAUUAUUACAGACCAUGACCCAGUACGCAAAUAAGUUUAACUCCUCCACGAGGCACGAUGUGCAUUGCAGGAAGAUAACAGGUGUAAGGGAUCAGGAGGAGGCGUCGCCGGUCACCCCCUCCACAGGGGGCUGGUCGUCGAUGUCAGAGGCAUCGUCUUCCCCAUCAUCGGCUCCAGCGGUACCUGGAGACAAAGGGGGCGCGACGCGAGCAAACCUCCUCACCAACGCCUCCACAAGACCUUUCACCACCUCUGCGGCGUGGUCGUGGGCCUCGGCAGGGACCAACAUGAUCACGAAGCUCAGAUCAAACUCGGGGUCGCAAAGACGAAGGUGACUAAAGACGCGAGUUGCAGACGUGAAGAAGAGGUCGCGACACUCGUUGUCCAAGAUCUUGUCCAUCUGCGUGACGGCAGCCUCCAACGUCGCGACGAGCCCCUUCACGAGCGAGGCAAAGCCAUCCUCCGGGGUGGCCAGAGGCUCGUCAAACUCGUCCCGACAGAGGGAGCGGAGCGCGUUGCGAAGCCCGAGCUCGACGUCAGGGAAGCAAGCCAUCUCGGCGGCCUUUCUUUUUCGCGGCGAGGGCUUUUUCCUCGACCUCAAAGAGAGCCUUCCUCAUGGUGACAUCCUUCUCCCGCUCCUCCAAGUGCACCUGUUCCGUGUCGAGGCGACUCGCCUUCCGGGAUAAUUCUUCCCCCGGGCGGCAAGCUUGGUCUCGUGAGCCUUAAGUUCCUCCUCCUGCGAGCGGUGUUGCCCGACCAGCUCAACAUGUUCCCCUUGGAGGGCGUUCACGCGGGCUUCCACCUCUUCACAGCGCUCGACAGCCGCCUUGGACUCCUUCAGAGCCCACUCAUGCGUGGCGCGGGCGGCCACGGCCUCUUCCUCGACCUUCCUCAUCUCAGUUGUGACAUCACUCAGCGCGGUGAAGGCCGCAUCCAGUAUGCUAAUACAUCCCAAACGUAUCUAUAAUUUCUGCUUCCUCCAUGCAAGUUUUGGGUGAUAUCGCUAUGUGUUUUGUACACUUUCAUACCUUUUCAACAUAUUUUGACUAACCUACUAACACAGUGCACCCAGUGUCAGUUUUUGUCUACUGAUGUCUGUGAAUUGCAGGUUUAUACCCAUAUUUACAGUGCCCGAAAAAAUCCACAGAAAAUAUAUAAAAAAAUCAUCAUUCCAGAAGACUCCAGACGCCCGAAGGAGAGCCAAAGGGGGGCCACCCUCAUCGAGACGGCCACCUGGUGUGACCUAGGGGGAGGUCGUGCCACCACGCCGCCUGGGCGAGUGGGACCUCCACUGGUGCCCCCCUUUGGCCCUAUUUUUACCCCCGUGGAGGAAACCCUGAUUCGAGAACCCUUUUCUCCAUAAGCAAUUCCGAUCUUCGCCGCCAUCGCCAACAAGUUUCAGGGAACCAGAAUUCCUGUGCCGCCACCCUGCCGGGACGGGGAAGGGCCCCCGAAUUCAUCUCCAUCGAAAUUGCUUACUCCCUCCAUGAAGCGGGAGUAGUUCCUCCUCGGGGCUGAGGUCUUCUACAUUAGCUAUGUGGUUAAUUCUCUCUCCCAUGAUGUGAUCUUGAUUGUGAUCAUAGGCUAUGUUAAUCUAGGGUGAUCCCAUGAUGUUCCCCCUUCUUCUAUGUAUUGGAUUGAUGUACUCACUUGAUCUUAUCUAGUAUAAUCUCCGAGACCAUGGUGACAACGGUCUAUUGGACAUGGAUUAGAAGAAUAUUUUCAUGAGUGAUUUCCUCUUUUGUGAAUUGAUUGAAGAUUGAGAGUCUCUUGGUGCUUGUGUUUGACUGUCCUCGAGAUAUGUUGUGGUGAUUGUGGUACACUAUUUGGAUGGCCGCGGUGACAUUGGGAAAUCCAUAGAUGAGAACUACGAACUCUGGGGUGUGCUUUUAUAGCCCUACAUAAUUCUCGUCCUCCCUUUAUCACAAAGAAAUAACCUCCGAGUACGUCUCCAUUGCAUGUUUUAGUGGAAAUAUCAUGUGAUUAGACUAUGUUAAUGUUGUUGGGAGUUGCCACUAGUGAAAGUAUGAAGCCUAGGCCUUGUUUCUCACCAUUGUUACAUCGUUUGUGCUACUUUUGUCACUUGCUACCUUGCUGUAAUUUUUUAUUACAGAUUUAUAUUACCUUGCUUUGCCACACAUAUCACCCAUAUUUUACCAUCUCUUCGCUGAACUAGUGCACCUAUACAAUUUACCAUUGUAUUAGGUGUGUUGGGGACACAAGAGACUUCUUGUUUCUUAAUUGCAGGGUUGCUUGAGAGAAACCAUCUUCAACCUCUAUUUCCCUGUGGCACCCCGGCUCACAGGAAACCGGAACGCCCCGUAUUCCAACCCAGUGACAAGUCUGUGGAAUACGGCACCGUUGGCAUAGAACAAAUCAGCUCUUUAUUACUAUGGAAAAGGUAACAAGGUUACUUGGAUUACAUCGCCAGGGCGAUACUACACCUGCCUAGGGUAAAUUCUACGCUAGCAGCGGAACAACGACGGAAGUGAUGAACUCCACUUCGAGGGACUCUGGCUGGAACGCGUAUCCUAGAUCGCAAACUCGGGAUCCUCAGCAAGCAAGCAAUCAUGGCAUGACCUGCAAACUGGCAUGACACGCCAGGUGAGUACUUUGAAUGUACUCGCAAGCUCACAACAAACAUCAGCAUUAAGGCAAGACAACAUCAUAGCAAUCAAGAUUAGGUAAAGAUUUAUUAUCACCAAAGGUAUAGUUGAAAAUAACUAUACCAGGCUACUCUCACCGUACUCUGGUGACCAAUCUGUGAUCUCAGCAAGAACCUUCGGCGAAUAUCCUCAAGACGGACACCAAGACUUGUCAUCGGCAUGAUGCCCAACUACUACCAUACUCAGACGAGUUCUUCCAUCAUUAUUAUCAUUAUCAUGGUUAUGGUUGACCACCUACUGAGGUCUGGACGGGUUAUCCAAUACGAUGGACGCGGCUAUUAGAAUAGAUUUGACACUCUACAGAGGUUGCACACUUUACCCACAUCAUGGAGCACUAACCUCGUGAUCCCAUUCGGGUGGACCAGUAUUGCUCCAACGAAACUUGUCUAACCCGUGACUCUCCCAUCGUAUCACCGGCAUUCAUCCUCCCCCGGAGUCCUACCCUGGGUGGACCCUGUGUCCUCAUGACACCUGCCACCAUCGUGGCCAAACUAAACUGUCCCAAACGGGGACGGGCCCAAACAACUCAACUGGGCUCACAAGGUUAUCGCCGGCCACCAGGCCAGGGUAGCGCGCGCAUAACCUUCCCUCUUUUCUGGUACCGAUAAAAGAACACGGAUCAAACCAAGUCAAGGUCAUCCCAUACCGGCAAAUGUGGCUGCAGGAUAAGCCCGGACAAGUGACUCUCGAUCAACCGACUAAGUAUCUUAUCCCCGAAUAACAUUUCUGUCAUAGCUAACACUCCGAUAUCAUAGUAAUCCACUAAUCAAUAAGGUCAAGCCACUGCUAUCGUUUCAUAUCCACAAACUGUCGGAUGAAACCCAAAGUAAUCAUAGACAGUAAUCUCCAACGUCAUGGCAUCAACUGGUGGGUGAAAUACUAGUUAUUAACAAUCUCGUACUCAAUAUGAUAGUCACCUAUUCAAGAGUUUAUUCAAACAUUGCAUAAUCUAAUCCAUACUAUAAAUAUACUUGCGACUAAAGUACUUGGUUAAACUAUGAUAUUGCAAUGUAAUUAUGAAAGUGAGAGUUUUGGCUUGCCUGGGAUGAGGGAUCCACCGGGAAGAAGUGCGAGAAGCUCGCGGAAGGAAUCGCCGGAAACAGUUCUCUCUCGGAGGAGGGGCUGUUUACGGCAACGGCAAACUGGUCAUUUCCACUGAGUGAACACAUAGUGAAAAUGAUACCAUCUUCACGGGCUCGACGAUACAAAGAUGUGGGCGUUGGAAUCACUAGAAUCAGAGUUAGGAUCGCAGAGAUAUGGACGUUUGAAGUCCAGGGACUAAUCUGUAAAACUUUUAUUCAUAGGCAGGCCCCUUGCCGAAAAAUAGAAAGCAUCUUCGGCUGAAAUACUCUUUCUAGGUGGGAAAACGGGGUAGCGCAAAAGGCGCCUCCACUUAUCCACGUGGCUGGCUCCACUCGCAGACGGUCGGGGCCCACGGUCCCUUCUCUCUCCUCCAUCUCCUUCUUCCUCAUCCCUCAUGUCUUUCCCCGAUGGAACAGAGAGGGGAGGCGAGACCGGCGUGCUCCGGCGACGGUUUCCGACGGCACGGGCCACCCUCGUGGUGCUCCGGCCAUGGGCAUGCUGAGGGCGGCCGAGCGCAUCCACCCCUGCAUCGGGGGGACCUCGGGGAGGACCGGAACGAGAGCCCCACUGGUCGAGGCGGAAUGCGGCGUCGAGCGCCGGUGUGCUCGCGGACAGAGGCCACCGGAGUAAGGGAGAGGGGCGGGGGCGGCCCUGGUACGAUGGUGUGUGUCUCUGGUGGAGGUGGAGAGAGGAGAGGGGCUCGGGGUCACCGGAAUUUGAGCCGAGGUAGGCGGCGGCUAUGGCGGCGAUUAGAGGGCAGGGGGCACUCCAGCGAUGGUUGGAUGGGUAGGGGAGGCGUAGGGGAGCGGGGUGGAGAGGAUGGUGAGGUCGAGGCACCUCGGGACGGCUUAAAUAGCCGGGACGGGGCAGGGCUCGGCCACAGCUUCGGCGACGCAUGCCGGAGCUUCGAGAAAGCUCAUGGAAGAGGGAAGAGGCAUCCAUAGAAGUCAGAGAGAUGCUAGGGAAGCUCUGGAGGACGCGGGGAGGGCUCGGGCGAGCUCAGGAAGGCUCGGGAGAGCUCGGGAAAAGAAGACGACAUGGCGGACACAGGCAGCACAGGACAGAGCUCGUCACGGCGCGGCGAGGAAGAAGCUGGAGGGGAAGACGGGUCCAGGGAGAAGAGGUCGACGAGGGGGAGCUGUUGGACACAACGAUGCGCGCGGAAACAACGAGGGCAGGAGGGCCCCGAGCUAGCAAACACGUUGCUCGCGUCCAUGGCAUGCUAGGGCGGUGGUCACCGCAUGGACGCGGCGAUGCCACGUACUCUAGUCGACCAAAUUGUGUCCAGAGGAUGGGUCAUUCAUCAUAGAAGAGCAAGGAAGAGAGAAACAAGCACAGGGACGAAAGAGGUGACUAGAGGGAGCUUGGAGCCAAAGCAACAACAAGAUGUUUAUACUCAGGUGGGGGAGAUCCAUCUUGGGAGAGGCUCUCGUUUUUAGUUGAGGGUGACCAAAUACUAGGAUGAUCAUCUCUGCAAAUUUUCAGCUCAUUUGAAUGAAUAUAAAUAUCACUUGCACUUCAAAGGGCUCUAUUGGAUAGAAUUGUAAAAUAUGAGGUAGAGCUCACAUACUUGCUUGGACUGAGCUGAAUUUUGGUGGAGGCUAGAUAUUUAGGCAUAUGAAGACACUGUAUAAAUUUCAUACCAUCUGGAUAAACCAAAGUGGUACUUUCUUCGCACAGUAUUCCUACUGGACAGAAUCUUAGGAGAAUUACUCGGGAAAUGGCUAAAUAAAAUGAGCUCAAAUUUGGUGGAGAGGUGUUUUAUAGGUAGGAGAAUGUCCUGGUAAAAUUUCAGAAAUUAUGGAACAACUUAAAGUACAGUUGCUUCACAAUCCAAAAUAAUGACCACAGACAAAGAUUUGAUGUUGUGCUCCCACAGUUGAUGAGGUGAUGCUCAAAUUUGGUGGAGAGUCAUGAUUUGAACAUGUUGAGAUGAUGGCAUAGUUUCAACUCAUUUUAUUAUUCUUAGCUAGCACUUGCUUCACAAAGCUUCGUGUGGAUCAGGAACUUUGGAAAUUUGCCAAGCAAUAUUUAAUAGCCAAAUGAGGUUGAAUUUUGGCAUGAGGAAAUGAUAUGGAUAGGAAAGAGUUCCCAAAAAAUUUGAGAGCAAGCAAGCAGAUAUAAAAGGUACUUGCUUCACAACUUGACAGAUAGGGCAGAAUCAGAAAAGGAGUAUUUGAGGGAUAUAUUGAACAUGUAAAGGAAGGACUUUGUCAUAUCCGAGGAAUAUAUGACCCAAAAAAUGUAUAAGAAUUAUUUGGGAAUUUUUGGAAUGAUAGAAAUGUGGGUUGCUUCACAACCCAAGGCAACAAGGUUAUUCCUUUAAUAGAAAAAGGAAUAUUCCCGGGAAAAGAUUACUAGGAUUGGAUCAAGAUGGAAAUGACAAGGUCUUGGGAUGGUUUGGAGGUUGGAAAGCCACUAGGGAAGAGGAAUUAAGGGUGAUCCUUUUAGGUUCGAGAACCAUCAAGGCAGAGAAAAGCAAAACUAGACCAAAAUCAGAAGAAAAAGAAAUGGGCAAAAUCUAGGGUGUUACAAACCUACCCCCUUAAAGAAAUCUCGUCCUCGAGAUUUGGUUGCUCAGGGGUUCAAUCAUGAAUAUCCCCACUUGAGGAAACUAUUUCCAACUCGGGUUUGCUUUUUGCCUUGGUAUGAUGCUCUGAUGUCCCACAAGUGUAUGGGAUCGCAGCAGUUUUCGAGGGUAGAGUAUUCAACCCAAAUUUAUUGAUUCGACUCAAGGGGAAGCGAAAGAAUAUUCUCAAGUAUUAGCAGUUGAGUUGUCAAUUCAAGCACACCUGAAAGAUUAGUGUAUGCAAGCAAAGUAUCAGUAGCAAGGUGGUAUGCUAGCAACGGUGCCAGAAAAAUCCUUGUUGACGGGAUGUUAGUGCCGCUUACCUAACCUCGGCAACAGCGCCAACAAAGUCUUGCAACAAGUAACAGCAGAGCAGUAAGGAACAGUAGUAGCAGCAGCAGCAAAGUAACAGCAGUAGCAACAGUAACAUCAAAGUGACAACAGUAGCAACAGUAGCAGCAAAGUGGCCCAAUCCCUUUUGUAGCAAGGGACAAGCCUAGACAAAGUAACGUAGCGAGGACCAGUAGUAAAAGACUCGUAGGCAGUGGAUCGGUGAUGGAUGAGUAUGACGGAUGUGAUUCAUCAUGUAACAGCUAUAACACGGAGAGAUAUGUAACUAGCUCCCGUUCGUCAAUCUAAUGUAGGCAUGUAUUCCGUAUGUACUCAUACGUGCUAAGGGAAAAGAACUUGCAAGAUACUAUGGUCAUCUCCGGGGGUGGUUCCGGCUAUUGUCACUCCGGGGUUGCCGGGUCAUAACACAUAGUAGGUGACUACAACUUGCAAGAUAGGAUCUAAAACACACAUAUAUUGGCGACAACAUAAUAGGUUCAGAUCUGAAAUCAUGGCACUAGGGCCCUAGUGACAAGCAUUAAGCAUAGCCAAGUAGUAGCAACAUUAAUCUAGAACAUAGUGGAUACUAGGGACCAAUCCCCGUCAAGAACUAACUCGAUUACAUGAUAGAUCUCAUCCAACUCAUCACCGUCCAGCAAGCCUAUGAUGAGAUUACUCACGAACAGUGAAGAGCGNNNNNNNNNNNNNNNNNNNNNNNAAGAGCGUCAUGUAAUUGUCGAUGGAGAAAGGUUGAUGAUGAGGAUGGCGACGAUUUCUCCUUUGUGGAGCCCGAAACGGACUCCAGAUCUGCCCUCCAGAUGAAGAACAGGAUGUGGCGGCGCCUCCGUAUUGCAAAACGCGAUGAAACCUUCUCUCUGAUUUUUUUCCAGGCGAAACGGAAGAUAUAGAGCUGAGAUUGGGGGCGGUGGUGCCACGUGGGCCCCACAAGCCUGCAUGGCGUGGCCAUAUGGGGGUGGCCGCGGCCUGUGGGCUUGUGGCCCACUAGCACGCCCCCUCCAGUAGAUCUUUGCGCAGGUAUUUUUCUUUUAUUCCAGAAAAAAUCUCCGUAAAUUUUCAGGACGUUCCGAGAACUUUCAUUUCUGCACAAAAACAACACCAUGGCAAUUCUGCUGAAAACAGCGUCAGUCCGGGUUAGUUCCAUUCAAAUCAUGCAAAUUAGAGUCCAAAACAAUGGCAAAAGAGUUCGGAAAAGUAGAUACAACGGAGAUGUAUCAUGCUCCUGUUGGGUUAUCUGGCUCACUGCAUGGCUUCGAGGUGGUUUGUUUCACUGGAUCCUCGUAUCUUAUUCUGACUUCCAUCCGUUUAUGUCUGCUGACUUGACUGACAGAGGUCCUCGUAGAAAGAUCUUGUUCACGGCAGGAUAUCCUUUGACUGAUUCCCAUAUGUGAGGACGCAUGCUGCGAGGUUGUUGUCCAACAUUCUGGUCGUUUCGUCUGUCGACACCUUUAAAUGAACAGUAGGUCGUGUAAUGCUUUAACACUAUUUUUGCAAUCGAACUGCUGAGUCGUCCUCACAGAUUUGAACAUCCCCUUCUAACGAUUCUGAGCAUAUCUGGUUGGGUUGACUCGAUAUAGGGUCCUUGCAAAUGGAAUAGACCUCACGGGGUGUGUACCCACGGUGAUUUGUAUCGAACCACACUGUCUUGAAUAUAUGCACCAUGUUGAUCUUGCAACCAUUAUCAUACAUCUAUGGCCAAUCUUGCUCAUUUAUUAUGGUUCUCUUUGCCUAGAUCCUUAGAUGAAAGAGCUUGGCCUCAUGCGUUCUUGAUUCUUCGGAUGACCAUGAGUGCUGCCAGGUACAAUAUUCCGGCACGCAUAUUAAUUAACUAGUUAUAGCUGCAUGGUGACGACCGUCGGAACCCUUGGAUAAAACCGAGAAAUAAACCAGUAGCCACCAGAACAGUCUUUACAACUCAGAUCUGGACAUCACUGGAGUAACUCAACCCCGACUCAAUACGGCUGAAAAGCAGCUCAGAGCAUGAGACGGUGUUGAUAAGAAGAAAGUAGCAGUUCCCUAAGACGACCGAGAAAUAGCUCAGAGCAUAGGGUCACUUCUACGGAAAGAAAUUCAGCAGCUCCCCGAGACGGCCGAAAAGCAGCUCAGUACACGGGCCAGUUGCUGACAAGGGAAAUAAAAGUCGGCAUCCACCCCAGAUGGCCGAAAACAGCUCAGAACACAGGCGUGGUGCCGUCACCAAAGAAAGACGGGCAAGGGUUCAUCCGUGUCCCAUAUAGCUUAUCCAUAGGUUGUUGGUCAUCUCACUGAAGUGUAUAAUUGGCAUUCUUCUUCUUCUUAUAUAGCUCAUGCAUUAGUCGGAUUCUCACCGGGCUGGCAUCAUUGUAUGAUUAACUCAUAUGGCCUUGGCAACCUGUCCAUCAUAUAUAUUGGGUCUAUGCGGCUGAGCGCUUGAUUCCUGAAGUGGGCUUGCGUCCUGACUGAUUUUAUGCCUUCUGACCAACUGUUGGGGAGCGGACCCUUGAGAUGCAUGAUCAUAUGAUGCCAGUUUUUGGUGGAAUAGCUUGUACUAGUGAGAGUGCAAUGCCUUCCCGACAAAGGUUACUUAAAUUUUGUUGUAAGUCAUCAAGAGUAUCGUGUCAAGGAAGACUGGAUAACUUGUGCUCGAAGUUUUUGCCGAGGUAGCUUCCUGAAGAAGAUUGGGUACCGUAUCUCAAAUGUUUCCUCCCUUAAAGACUUGAUGGGUAAGACUCGGUACCUUAUGUCGGAAGCUUGUUGUGAUAACUUACUGGAGAAGCAUGGGUGUCUUGUAUGGGAAAAUAUUCGUGUGUCGUAUUGAGGAAGUCACAGGAACCUUAUGUCAUAAGUUGUUCUGGUAGGUUGCGGAGAAAGACUGGGUUGCUUAUACCUAAAGCUUUAUUUUUACCAUAUGCAAGCUAAGUGCAUAUAUAUAUAUAUCCCCUUAAUGUUCCUGAUGUCGGUUAGUUGUUGUAUGCAACAGGGUAUUCAACUAUCCUUCUUGCUGAACACUAAGUUCAUAGCACAUUCUGACUUCCUUCAGUAGUAUAGCAGGUUUCAAAUUGUAUUCAUAACAGACUCAACCGUGUAUAUGAAUCAUACCUUUGACUCGAAAGGUACACAUCCUUGCCUUCUUGCUGAUUCGAUGAUUGCUGUGGCGAAGGUUGCACUUAUGUAUACUUGAUGCUGAUAACUCGUCCCACCAAGAUAUCAUUUAUGUUCAAGCCUGAUAUUCCUGAUAUAAUGCAGCCUCCUGAAAAUUCUAUAUUGCUGAACUAAGCUUACAAAUGGCUCUGUCUUCACUGAUUCUUUGAGUCCAGUGUCGGUGAGCAACUUCCAUAAGGGGAAAAUAAGGUAACACCAAGGGCCCAAAGAAAGAAGCAAGAGAAAAGACUAACACACACAAAGCAGCAAGAUCACCAGUAAUAGCACAUACUCUACAACUAUUCACAACAAUGAUAUGCAUUCCUACUUAAGCAGACAAAUCUCACAAGAACUCUGGUACUACGGUCUAACAUGCUAUGGCAGUGUGCACGAAAAUGAAUCAAUGUGUGGAAGAAAGCUGACGAGGACGAACUUGGUGAUCGUGGGUCGGAACACAGGGGUCUCGACCACGUCAUCAUCAAGCGUACAGAAGAAAACCGUACUCGUCGAGAGGAUGGAUGGCAGGGUGGGAUAACGAUGAACAGAAGGCUUGCGGGCAUUGCCCCUUUUCUGAUAAGCAAGAUCAGUAAGGGUUGCCAACGUGGCUAGAGGGGUGGACAAGAUCCCGGAUAGAAACAUAUCUAUCACCGAGACAAUAGGGUGGCUGAAGAGAAUACAUUGGUGUGGUACCGGUGCAUUAAUCCAACAAGGGAUCGACACAACCAGUCACCUUUGCACCACUCCGCUCGGGCAAAGAUGACAUCACACCAAGGAGCAAAUAUGAAACUAGCGGGUAGAGGUGGUGCAUCGAGACUCAUGCCACCUGCACUCAUCAUAUCAAUCAUUAGUGAUAAAAUAUCUAGUCUACAUGCAUGUUAUGCACAAACAAAUGCAAUGAACAAGUGUAGCAAUCCAACUACAUCAUAUACUAUCGGUUAUUAACGCUCGCGCGGUCUAGGGCGUCCUACAGCCACACCUGCUCUGAUACCAACGCUUGUGGCACCUUGGCUCAGAGGAAACUGGAACGCCUCGUAUUCCAGCCCAGGGACAAGUCUCUGGAAUACGACAUCAUUGGCAUAGAACAAAUCAGCUCUUUAUUACUAUGGAAAAGGUUACAGGGGUACUUGGAUUACAUCGCCACGGCGAUACUACACCUGCCUAUGGUAAAUUCUACGCUAGCAGCGGAACAACGACGGAAGUGAUGAAAUCCACUCCGCAGGGACUCUGGCUGGAACGCGUAUCCUAGAUUGUAAACUCGGGAUCCUCAGCAAGCAAGCAAUCAUGGCAAGACCUGCAAACUGGCAUGACACGCCAGGUGGGUACUUUGAAUGUACUCGCAAGCUCACAACAAACAUCAACAUCAAGGCAAGACAACAUCAUAGCAAUCAAAAUUAGGUAAAGAUUUAUCAUCACCGAAGGGAUAGUUGAAAAUAACUAUGCGAGGCUACUCUCACCGUACCGUGGUGACCAAUCUGUGAUCUCACCAAGAACCUUCACGAAUAUCCUCAAGACGGACACCAAGACUUGUCACUGGCAUGAUGCCCAACUGCUACCAUACUGAGACGAGUUCUUCCAUCAUUAUUAUCAUUGUCAUGGUUAUGGUUGACCACGUACUAAGGUCUGGACGGGCUCUCCAAUAUCGUGGACGCGGCUAUUCGAAUAGAUUUUACACUCUGCAGAGGUUGCACACUUUACCCACAUCAUGGAGUACUAACCUCGUGAUCCCAUUCGGGUGGACCAGUAUUGCUCCAAUGAAACUUGUCUCACCCGUGACUCUCCCAUCAUACCACCGGCAUUCAUCCUCCCCCGGAGUCCUGCCCUGGGUGGCCCCCUCUCUCCUCAUGACACCUGCCACCGUCGUGGCCAAACUAAACUGUCCCAAACGGAGACGGGCCCAAACAACUCAACUGGGCUCACAAGGUUAUCGCCGCCCACCGGGCUAGGGUAGCGCGCGCGCAUAACCUUCCCUAUUUGGUGGUACCGAUAAAAGAACACGCGAUUAGACCAAGUCAAGGCCGUCCCAUACCGGCAAAUGUGACUGCAGGAUAAGCCCGGUCAGGUGACUCUCGAUCAACCGACUAAGUAUCUUCUCCCCGAAUAAUAUUUUUGUCAUAGCUGAAACUCCGAUAUCAUAGUAAUCCACUAAUCAAUAAGCUCAAGCCACUGCUAUCGAUUCAUAUCCACAAACUGCAGGAUAAAACCCAAAGUAAUCAUAGACAUUAAUCUCCAACGUCAUGACAUCAACUGGUGGGUGAAAUACUAGUUAUUAACAAUCUCGUACUCAAUAUGACAGUCACCUAUUCAAGAGUUUAUUCAAACAGUGCAUAAUCUAAUCCAUACUAUAAAUAUACUUGCGACUAAAGUAAUUGGUUAAACUAUGAUAUUGCAAUGUAAUUAUGCAAGUGAGAGUUGUGGCUUGCCUGGGAUGAGGGAUCCACCGGGAAGAAGUGCGAGAAUCUCGCGGAAGGGAUCGCUAGAAAUAGUUCUCUCUCGGAGGAGGGGUUGUUUACGGCAAGGGAGAACUGGUCAUUUUCACUGUGUGAACACAGAGUGAAAAUGAUACCAACCUGACGGGCUCGACGAGACGAAGACGUGGGUUUGGAAUCACUGGAAUCGGAGUUAGAAUCGCGGAGAUAUGGAUGUUUGAAGUCCAGGGACUAAUCUGUAGAACUUUUAUUCACAGACAGGCCCCUGGUCGAAAAACAAAGAGUGUCUUUGUAAGUGCAUAUCAGGAGUGAUAAUGGAACCGAGUUCAAAAACACUGGUCUUGAUGAACUUGGUAUUACUCACGAAUUGUUUGCUCCUUAUACUCCUCAGCGGAAUGGUGUCGUCGAAAGGAAGAACAGGACUCUGGUUGAAAUGGCGAGAACUAUGCUUGAAGAAUAUCAGACUCCUCGUCGCUUUUGGCCUGAAGCAAUCAACACUCCAUGCCAUAUCAUCAACAGGGUAUAUCUUCACAAAUUCCUCAAGAAAACCUCAUGUGAACUCCUCACUGAUAAGAAACCCAAUGUAAGUUAUUUCAAAGUCUUCAGUGCAAAAUGCUGGAUUAGAGAUCCUCACCAUAGCUCAAAAUUUGCACCUAUGGCACAUGAAGGUUUUAUGCUCGGUUAUGAAAAGGACUCGCACACUUAUAGAGUCUUCGACAACUAUCACAACAAAGUUGUUGAGACUGUAGAUGUGCGGUUCGAUGAAACUAAUGGCUCGCAAAGAGAGCAAUUGCCUUCUGAUCUAGAUAAGCUGUCUCCUGAGGAAGCAAUAAAGCUUAAGCCUACUGAAGACAUUGUCCCCACUGAGGAAAUUGGUGAAGAAACGAUCCCCAUCGCUGAUAAAAACCAAGAAGAUGCUCCUGAGGAAAUUGCACCAGCACCACUUCCUCAGCCCAGACAAAAUCCUCAAUCAGCUCAUCCAAGGAUUGCAAACGAAGUAGAACUUGACAAAAUCCUCAACGACAUCAACGCGCCAGGUCCUCUCACUCGCUCAAAAGCUUCACACUUAGUUAACUUUUGUGGGCACUUUUCCUUUGUAUCCAUCACAGAACCCUCAAAAGUUGCCGAGGCUUUUCUGGAAUCGGAGUGGAUCCAAGCUAUGCAAGACGAACUUCUUCAAUUCAAGUUGAAUGAUGUAUGGGAGCUCAUCAAACGACCAGAUCCUCGCAAGCACAACAUCAUCGACACUAAGUGGAUUUUUCGAAACAAGCAAGAUGAGGACGGACAAGUGGUGAGGAACAAGGCACGACUUGUAGCCCAAGGCUACACCCAGGUUGAAGGAAUAGAUUUCGAUGAAACUUUUGCACGUGUUGCUAGACUUGAAGCUAUUCGAAUAUUACUUGCUUAUGCUAAUCAUCAUAACAUCACCUUAUAUCAAAUGGAUGUGAAAAGUGCAUUCCUCAAUGGUAAGCUUGAGGAAGAAGUAUAUGUUGCUCAGCCUCCAGGUUUUGAGGAUCCAAAGAAUCCAGACAAAGUCUUCAGACUCAAAAAGGCUCUGUAUGGCCUCAAGCAAGCCCCUCGGGCAUGGUAUGAUACAUUGAAGGAAUUCCUCAUGAAGAAAGGCUUCAAACCUGGUUCACUCAAUCCAACUCUUUUCACAAAAUCCUAUGAUAAUGAGCUGUUUGUAUGUCAAAUAUAUGUCGAUGAUAUCAUAUUUGGCUGUACUGACAAAAGAUACAGUGAUGAAUUUGCCUACAUGAUGAGUGAAGAAUAUCAGAUGUCCAUGAUGGGGGAGCUGAAAUUCUUCUUAGGUCUUCAAAUUCGUCAACAAAGCAAUGGAAUCUUCAUAUCACAGGAGAAAUACCUCAAGGAUGUUCUGAGGAAAUUCGACAUGCACGAAUGCAAAGGUGCCAAGACUCCAAUGCCUACCAACGGCCACCUCGGCACUCAUGAAAAUGGUAAAGAUUUCGAUCAGUAGGUAUAUCGUUCUGUGAUUGGCUCUUUAUUGUAUCUAUGUGCAUCUAGGCCAGAUAUAAUGCUUAGUGUUUGCAUGUGUGCACGUUUUCAAGCAAAACUGAAGGAAUCACACCAUAAGGCUGUGAAACAUAUUCUUCGAUACUUAGCUCACACACCAACACUAGGAUUAUGGUAUCCCAAGGGCUCAAAUCUUCAUCUGGUAGGGUAUUCUGAUUCUGACUAUGUUGGUGACCGUGUGGAUCGCAAGUCAAUGUCUGGCACAUGCCAUUUCCUCGGAAGAUCACUAGUUUGCUGGUCCUCAAAGAAGCAGAACUGCAUAUCACUCUCCACUGCCGAAGAUGAGUACAUUGUUGCUAGUUCUUGCUGUGCUCAAUUGCUAUGGAUGAAGCAAACCCUCAAAGACUACAGCAUCAGCAUGAAGAAUGUGCCUCUCCACUGUGACAAUGAAAGUGCUAUCAAGAUUUCAUACAACCCAGUACAACACUCGAAGACCAAGCACAUCCAGAUUCGUCAUCAUUUUCUUCGGGACCAUGUCCUCAAGGGCAAUAUCCUCAUCGACCAUGUGAAGACUGAUGAUCAACUGACAGAUAUCUUCACUAAGCCCUUGGAUGAGAAAAGGUUUUGCAAGUUGCGGUGUGAGCUAAAUAUCUUAGAAUCUUCAAAUGUUUUGUAAAAACAUGCACACAUCCUAACACUUAUGCAAAGUUGAUGACUUAGAUGUGCAACACAUGAUGAAUCGAUUUUGUUCAACUGAUGAAGAAUGUCACUCUGAAUGUGAAGAAAUUAACGAAGAAAUUGAUUCUCAGGGCCCUACGACAAUUGUACGCGGCGUCUGUAAUCAACAUUCUUAUAUGGUGGGUAACGCCACCGCCAAAUGUGAAAUUCCUGAAGUUGAUUUUCUUCAAAUGAUCAAUUUUCUCACAAUGCGUUUUUCUUCAAAACAGCUGUUCUUCAUUGUGAUGAUUUAUUACAAAAAUCUUCAAAGACACUUGAUGACUUUCAUUUGACUAGAUAAAUUGUGAUUUCUAGUUCUCAACUGCAUUCACUUAUUGUUAUUUCUUCAAGUUGAUGUUUCUGCUAAGUGAAUGUGAUCGGACCCUACUUUCCCUCUAUGCUAUACCUAUCCAGUCUAUUCAAUUCUUAAUAUGCGUUCUAUUUGAAACUUUGUUCAAAAUCCUCACUCCAUCCUUUUCAGCUGAUGAUUUUGUAACGAAAAUCCUCAAAUCUUCAAAAAUUGUUUUUAAAGGCACAGUAACUGAACCCUCACUUCCCACGAUCAGAUAACCACGAUCUCCACUAUCUCCACCGCAUCGUACGGGACCUACACGUGUCCUGCGAAGACGUAGAGGCAGGGGCUAUUUGGUCCGACAUUUUCGCGCCAACAGUAACUUUUGGCUAUAAAUAUGUCCUUAUCCCCCUCGGCAUCCUCUUCUUCGCCUCAUCGCUCUCCUGCCACAGCACACUCUGCCGAACCCUAGCGCCACCGCUGGUAGUCUCGUCGCCGGUGAGGAAGAGCUUCACUGCCUCGACUUCUUCGUCGCCAGAACCACGCCGGAGUCGGACCAUCUUCGUCCGCCGCCGCCGUAGACGUCCUCUGUCGCCGAGUUAGGGUGCAUUGGACACUCGAACGAAGAGCCUCUCCACACACAACUUUCUGUGUUCUUCGUGCACACCUUCCACGGUAAAUAUAUCCCAUUUUUACAGCAAGUUAGAUCAAAAAUUUUACAUCCACUAUGUGAAAUCUGUUUCUCCUCAAGAUACGAUGCGCACUUGAUUCCUCAAACACUACCUAUCACCACAAUCAUUGAUGAACUAUACUAAGCAUCUAAGAUUAUCACGAGAUUCCUCAAUUGUGCGAAUUUUCGGAUCUGUACAACUCUGGAACCCAAGAACAGUAUGCUUAGGCAAAUUCCUCAAUCACUGGUUAUAUUCCUCAAACUGUCAAACUUUUCCAUUUUCUUCAAAUCUGAGAACGCAUAUGACCUCUCCAAAUUCCUUGCAACCAUACUCUGUUCACAGGUACACACAUGUCAGCUGAUGAAUCUCUCGGUUCUCAUCACAUUAACUAAUUUGCAGGGUUUCUGGAAGAAACUCUUCAAGGCUCAUCAGAAUCCUCAAGAGUUCAAAAUCAUCAACAAAAUCCUCAACUAAGGAAAAUGGAGGAAGACAGAAAACACAAGGGAGGAAAGAAACUUGAGCAAAACACAACUGCUGAUAUCCCUAAGGACAUUUACUUGGACUAUUGUACGCCUGAUGAAAAUAAGACAAUGGCCAAGAGAAAGAUACGGCUGCAGAAGAUUGAACGCUGAUGGGCGAAGGAAUGGAAGGAGUACAGGUUUGUGACUCCUAAAUAUGCGAAGAAAUUCGCUUUGAAGCCUCCUGGCAGAAGGGCCCCACUUGAGGAUCAUCAAGUAGCACAUCCCUCAAGCCUCAAGACCAUUGAUGACUAUCCAGAUGAAAAGGAAAAGCAUCUGACCAAGCUCAAGAGGCAGGCAGAAGCUGCAAUGAGGAAAUUUAAUGAAUUCUCAGCUGCUGCCUCCGGUGCUGCUAAUUCCUCAGAUGCAGAAACCUCAGGCUCAGAAAUUCCUCAAAUGCAGUUUGUGCCGUCAAAGCCAAGGGCUCCAAAGCCUCACGAGAAGUCUGCUCAGGCUUCUGUCACAAAACCCUCAUUAUCAAAACCAUCAGCGCCAAAACCCUCAGUACCAAUCUCCUCAGCAUCAAAAACCUUAGCUCCACCUCCAAAGCCUCAAGAGAAAACAAUACAGAAGCAAGUCGUGAAGCCUACGACCGCCAGCUCCAGCUCCUCACUCCCAGCUGCAACUAGCUCGGAGACAAAGUCUUCAACUCCUCCUGUGAAGACUUUGGCAACUGCUGAACGUGCACCUCUGCCCAGCCCCAGCAAAAUCAUCGCAGUCCCGUCUGCAUCAGAGGGAAGUGAUGAAUAUGAUGAUGAAACCCUGCAAGCCAUCAUCAGAAACAAGCAAGAAAGAGUAGCUCAAGCAUCAGGCAGUGCUAUUCCUCUGGCCAUGGACCCCAAGGUCCUCCUUGACUACAUCAAUAUCUGGUAUGAGGACCCAAACACUCCUAUUGAUGAUUUGAAACUUCCCCCUGGCAUCAGCCACAUGGUGGCCACUUUCAUAAAUGAAGCCAAGUGGAAAGAACAGCAGGCCAGGCAGGCAAAGGUUGCAAAGAUCAAAAAGGAGAAAUUCCUCAGGCAGAAUCUCCUCAAACUGACUCCUGAUGCACUGGUGACAACACAGACAGAGCUGCAGAAAUUGACUGACAAGUACGCCAAGCUGUCAGAUCGCAAAAGCAUCAAGAGCAAUUUCAUCAAGCUGGCCACUAGUGAUGUUGAUGACUACAACAAGAGAACCGCACCCCCAGCACCAACUCCUCAGCCCUUGGUUGAGGAGCCAGCAGAUGCAUCUCCUCAUGAGGAGGAAACUCCUCAAGCUGAGGAAGUACACCAAGAGCGCCGUGUUGAUGAACCGGCCAUUGAAGAAAUCAUCACGGAAACUCCAACUGAUGAAAUUGCUGCCGCUGAUGAGACUGCUCCUGAUCCAGCUGCUUCAUCAAAGCAGGCUGAUGACUCUGUUCCAGCUGGUUCCUCACUACCAGCUGAAGAAACUGAAGAGAGAACACCUUCACCAAAAGCUUCAAAGGUGAAGAAGAUAAUUCCGUCUGCAUCAGACGUGAAGAAAACAAGGGCUCCUGAAAAGGAAGCCGGGAAGAGAAAAGCCUCCUCAGCAGUAGAAGAGACAGAGGCAAAGCGCCUCAAAGAAAUUGAAGAAACUGCUCCUCUGGACCCGGUGCCUCUCAAUGUCGCCCCUUCCUAUGAGAUGGUCAUCAUUGAUGACCCAGCUACGAAGGCAGAUGCGGAAAUGAAGGAUGUCGCCCCUGAGGAACACACUGAUGAGGAAAUUCAGAUUGACGAUAGUCCUCAACCUCUUAUUCCUCUGACAGAAACUGUUCAAGCAUCAGCUGCACCAGCUGAUGAAACUGCUUCUGCCACAAAGCCAGCUGAGGAAAAACAAGCUGAAAAUCCUCAUGCUGACGAAAUUCAACAUUCUGACAAUACUCCUCAAGACGAGGAACAGGCUGACCCAACUCCUCCAACUAAGAAAGAAGUAGAAAUUCCUCAGCCUGAAGCUCAGCCAGAGCAAGCAUCAUCUCCUCACCAUGAAGUACCAGCUGAUGAAAUUCCUCACCCUGAGGAAAAUGCUGAAGAAAAUGCACCCGCCCAAGACAAUGCAUUCAUUGUGCUUAACCCAGAGACUGCUAUGGUUGUCUCCCCCCUAUUCCUCAGCAAAAUCUUCAGUCAGUUCAACGUCAGCCGUUCUCCAAGCGUCCAAAGUUUCAGAAAGAAAAUUUCUUUGAAGAACGCAUGUACUUCAUUGAAGAGAACCCUUAUGACAGGCCUCAAAUGAGGCAUCUGAAGUUUUGGACAAGGACUCAGAUGAACUACUAUGCCUCUGUGCUCUGUGGACGCAACAAGAUAUUCCAGCACAGACAUAUUCCUCAUGUUGAGCUUGAAGCAAUACCUUGCAUGGAGCCAGUCCUCAGUGUACUCCACGAUGCAGGUUUGCUCCCAAUGUGCUCAAACAUAUCAGACUGGAACAGCGAGCUUAUUCUUCAGUUCUAUGCCACUCUUCACUUAUCUGGCAACCAUGAAGACAUCAACACUUGGGUGUUUGACUGGAUGUCACAAAACACUCACUACAGGGCUCCUGCUUCUGAACUCCUCAGAGAACUGCCCGUACCAAUUCCCUCAUAUGGGGCAGUGAAGCUUUAUGGUGAGCGUGAGCUGCCAAAUGGAAUGAUGGAAGUCCUCGUGAAGCCUUUGGCUGCAGGCAAAUCUUCAAGAACAACCUUCCUCGUCCACGAGCUGAAGUACACACCCCGGUCUGUCUACAGAAUCCUCUGCAAUGUGCUCGCACCGAUCAAAGGCCAUGACGAUGAAGAAGAUGUUGUAGGCCUCAUGAAGAAUAUCCUCUUCAACAUCAUUCACGGUAUUCCUAUCAAUAUCCAUGAUUUCUUCUUGAGGACUUUGGGCGAUAAUGCCAUGUGCCCCUUUGAUCACAAGAUAUAUGCCCCGUGGAUUAUGAGAUUCAUCAGGACAAGGACACGCAUCAACUUCCACGCUGAUUUCCAAAACCACAUGGGUUAUAUGCCUCCUAUCCGGGUCAACAAGAAGACUUUCGAGCCCAUUGAAGGAAAAGGAAAAUCUGUGAUUGAAGAAGGCAACAGGCCCCUUGAUGGCCAGUUCAAAGAGCCAGAAGCAUAUUCUUCAUGGGACGAUACUGAGACUCGUCCAGCAAGCCCAGUUCCUCCUCGCGUGCUGAAUACCAGAGAGCUCCUCACCAGAAGGUGGAUCGCAACCACAAAUGGGUCAAACGCCAGUUUGGUGCCAUUGUGAAAACCCUCACUGAAACACAGAACUCUGUGAAGAUUAACCAUCAUUAUCUGCAUGAGGUUUUCGAUCGCACCUGGGCUACACUUGCACAUCUGAAGACUCAGACUCAGCUUGAAGAAAUGAACUUUGAGCGAGACUUUGACUGGUCGUGGCCGCCCAAGAAGAAGUUCAGGCCCAUUCCAGUGCCAGACCUUGAAGACAGCUCCUUUUCUUCAUUCCGCACUGCUGAAUCUGAUGAAGAACAGAUCGACACUGCAACCGGCCCAAGGAAGAAGACUACUCCCAAGAAGCAUCACGGCUCUUCCUCAACCGCCAAGAAAUGAAGUCUUAACGGGCGUUAGUCCUCAGUUUGUCCCUUUUUGUCACUUGAUGACAAAGGGGGAGAAACUCGAGAGUUAGUCUUCAAACGGGAUAUUUUUGGGGCUUAUAAACUAUAUUUAAGUUACAAACUCUUGGCUCUUUUGAAGUUUUUAUGUAAUGAGUUGUAACUUAAGCCCGAUGGUACUCUGACGCCUUUGAACGUUUUUCUUUGCAUGCUUAUUCCUCAAGUUUUAAUACACGCAUGCUGGAAUUCGUCAGAUACCAUUUGCCAUCAUGCAUCUUCAUUUUCUUCAUAUGAUAUGUUAUAUGUAUGCAUGAUUUACAAGACUCAGGGGGAGAUCUCCAUGAUAUAAAUCAUCAAUGUGCAUUUGCUAUAAAAGCAAAAUCCUCAAGGUAUGCACAUCUUCAGGGGGAGUCUCUCUGAAUCUUGUUUUCAAAUUCCUCAAAUGAGUAUUUACACUUCAUACUUUUGAUCCCUAUUGAAGACUUAACCUAAUUGUCAUCAACCACCAAAAAGGGGGAGAUUGUAAGUGCAUCUAGUGCCCCUUAGAAUCGGAGUUAGAAUCGCAGAGAUAUGGAUGUUUGAAGUCCAGGGACUAAUCUGUAAAACUUUUAUUCACAGACAGGCCCCUGUCCGAAAAACAAAGAGUGUCUUUGUAAGUGCAUCUAGUGCCCCUUAGUGAUUUUGGUAGUUUGAAGACUUAUAGGUUAAGUAUCUAAUGUGUUUGUGAGUAUACACAGGAUCUAUAAGUCAUUGAGGAGUUUGAGAUAUUUGAAGAAUAUCGACCCCUAAAAAUACAUGUCUUCAGUUGAAGAAAUUGGUCUGAAGCUUAAGAAAUGAAUCGCAAGGAAUCUGCGAUGAAAUUGAUAUUCCUCAUGAAGAUACUGAUAUUGAGAAGUCCGGUGGUUUCUGAAGAAAAUCAUUCUGAAGAAUUUGAAGCAUGAAGACUUACACUUUCUGUUUUACUUUCUUCGCAUCUGAGUAAUAGGAACACCGUACUGUUAAAGGGGGUCAAAGUUACACUAUGGAAUGAAUUCCCUCAUGAUGCUCAACCCAAGCCUAAUCCUACCAAAAAGCCUCAAGUGAGGAAUAUGAGUGACAUGAGGACUCUCACAAUUGAGGGUUCCGACCGUUUUGAUAACCACGCCAAGUCAUUGGUCUUAUCCACUCCAACGGUCAUAUUAUUUAAGGGCAUUAGUGUCAAAUCAUGUCGGGAUGCUCCCAGGCUAUAAAUAGCCCCCCCCCACACAACCACUAGCUGGUUGGCUGCUCCGUUAGAAACUGACACUUGUCAUAAGAGCAACCCAAAUUCCUCAGAGCCUUCGAGAGUAAUUCAUCAGUGAGGAAAUACCCCAUACACCGAAACCACAAACCAAACCUAGUGAUUGAGCAUCACUGAAGAAGUUGUUCCUGUGUGGGACUGAAGCCUUUUACCUUUGAGGACUGUGCAUCCUCCAGACGGUUAGGCGUCAUGGUCUAGAGCAAUCCAGCAGUCAAUUGUGGAUCGCCGGGUGACCAAGUUUGUGAGGGUUUGGAAGUCUGCCCUGAAGACUUACCACGAGUGUUGGCCGAGGACUGUGUGUCCUUAGCUCAAGGAGAAUACGGUAGGGAUUGUGUGUCCCGGGACUGGGUGUCCUUUGGUUUCAAUACCAAGCCGCUCCAAACCAGAUGUACAACUGUCACAGAAGUUGGAACUGGGUCAUCAACAACUGUCUUCACUGAGAAAUGGGUUCUAAUUCCUCAACACUUUACUUUCCUUGUAUUGUGUGUUGAUCACUUUCACUGUGACUGUUUGAAGAAUUUGCUGAAGACUUUCUCUGAAUUUCCUCAACCCCAAAUUCUUCACAAUAGUUAAUCAUCAUUUGUAUUCUGCGUGCCUGCUUACUGUGCAAUCUGUUUUCACAUUCUUCACUCUGAAAUACUGCUGUUGUGAACGUUUGCACGUCUGAUCCUUUACUCUUUCCGCUGUAAGUUAGUCAUCACUGAGGAAUUUCCUCAAAAGGAAUUUCCUCAGUGAUGAAAUUCUAAAAAUCUCCUAUUCACCCCCUCUAGUCGAUAUAACGCACUUUCAGUCUUCGGCUGAAAUACGCUUUCUAGCUGGGAAACGGGAUAGCGUAGAAGGCGCCUCCACUUAUCCACGUGGCUGGCUCCACUCGCUGACAGUCGGGGCCCACAACGCCUUCUCUCUCCUCCCUCUCCUUCUUCCUCCUCCCUCCUGUCUUGCCCCGAUGGAACAGAGAGGGGAGGCAAUACCGACGUGCUCCGGCAACGAUCUCCGACGGCACGGGCCACCACUCGCGGUGCUCCGGCCAUGGGCACGCUCAGGGCGACCAGGCGCAUCCACCCCUGCAUCGAGGGGACCUCGGGGAGGACCAGAGCGAGAGCCCACUGGCCGAGGCGGAAUGGGGCGUCGAGCACGAGUGUGCUCGCGGCGAGAGGCCACCGGAGUAGGGGAGAGGGGCGGGGCGGCCCUGGUAUGAUGGUGUGGGUCUCUGGUGGAGGUGGAGAGAAGAGAGGGGCUCGGGGUCACCGGAAUUUGAGUGAAGGUAGACGGCGGCUAUGGCGGCGAUUAGAGGGCACGGGGCACUCGAGCGAUGGUUGGAUGGGUCGAGGAGGCGUAGGGGAGCAGGGGUGGAGAGGAUGGUGAGGUCGAGGCACCUCGGGAUGGCUUAAAUAGCCAGGACGGCGUAGGGCUCGGCCACGGCUUCGGCGAUGCAUGUCGGAGCUUCGGGAAGGCUCAUGGAAGAGGGGAGAGGCAUCCAGAGAGGUAAGAGAGAGGUUGGGGAAGCUCUGGCGGACGCGGGGAGGGCUCAGGCGAGCUCGGGGGAAGAAGACGACAUGGCGGACACAUGCAACCCAGGACAGAGCUCGUCGCGGUGCCGCAAGGAAGAAGCUGUAGGGGAGAGGGGGCCAGGGAGAAGAGGUCGACGAGGGGAGCUGUAGGACACGACGAGGCGCGCGGAAACGGCGAGCAGAGGAGGGGCCCGAGCUAGCAAACACGCAGCUCGCGUCCUUGGCAUGCCAGGGCGGUGGUCACCGCAUGGACGCGACGAUGCCACAUACUCUGGUCGACAAAAUCGUGUCCAGAGGAUGGGUCAUUCAUCAUAGAAGAGCAAUGAAGAGAGAAACAAACACACGGACGAAAGAGGUGACUAGAGGGAGCUUGGAGCCAAAGCAACAACAAGUUGUUUGUACUGAGGUGGGGGAAAUCCAGCUAGGGAGAGGCUCUCGUUUUUAGUUAAGGGUUAUCAAAUACUAGGAUGAUCAUCUCUGCAAAUUUUCAGCUCAUUUGAAUGAAUAUAAAUAGCACUUGCAGUUCAAAGGGCUCUACUGGACAGAACUGCAAAAUAUGAGGUAGAGCUCACAUACUUGCUUGGACUGAGCUAUAUUUUGGUUGAGGCUAGAUAUUUAGGUAUAUGAAGACACUGUAUAAAUUUCAUACCAUCUGGAUAAACCAAAGUGGUACUUCCUUCACACAAUAUCCCUACUGGACAGCAUCGUAGGAGAAUUACUGGGGGGAAAUGGCUAGAUAAAAUGAUCUCAAAUUUGGUGGAGAGGUAUUUCAUAGGUAGGAGAAUGUCGUGGUAACAUUUCAGAAAUUAUGGAGCAACAUAAAGUACAGUUGCUUCACAAUCCAAAAUAAUGACCAGAGACAAAGAUUUGAUGUUGUGCUCCCACAGUUGAUGAGGUGAUGCUCAAAUUUGGUGGAGAGUCGUGAUUUGAGCAUAUUAAUAUCAUGGCAAAGUUUCAACUCAUUUUAAUAUUCUUAGCUAGCACCUGCUUUACAAAGCUUCCUAUGGAUCAGGAACUUUGGAAAUUUGCCAAGAAAUAUUUAAUAGCUAAAUGAGGUUGAAUUUUGGCAUGAGUCAAUGAUAUGGAUAGGAAAGAGUUCCCAAAAAAUUUGAGAGCAAGCAAGCAGAUAUAAAGGGUACUUGCUUCACAACUUGACAGAUAUGGCAGGAUCAUAAAUUUUGAGGAAUAUUUUUAACAUGGAAACGAAGGACUUUGUCAUAUCUGAGGAAGAUAUGACCCAAAAAGUUUAUAAGAAUUAUUUGGGAAUUUUUGGAAUGAUAGAAAUGUGGGUUGCUUCACAACCCAAGGCAACAUGGUUGUUCCUUUAAUAGAAAAAGGAAUAUUCCCGGGGAAAAGAUUACUAGGAUUGGCUCAAGAUGGAAUUGGCAAGGUCUUGGGAUGGUUUGGAGGUUGGCAAGCCACUAGGUAAGAGGAAUUGAGGGUGAUCCCUUUAGGUUCCAAAACCAUCAAGCCACGGAAAAGUAAAACCAGACCAAAAUCAGAAGAAAAAGAAAUGGGCAAAAUCUAGGGUGUUACAUUCCAUGAGUUCGACAAACCUUAGGUCAUCCACUUGAGGGAAAUUGUUGUUGUCCUACAAACCUGUGCGCUUGGAGGCCCAACAUAGUCUACAAGAAUAGAAGCGUGCGUAGACAUCAAGCUAUUUCUGGCAUCGUUGCCGGGGAGGUGAGUGCUCGAAGGUAUAUCUUUAGAACCUGUAAUUAAAUCUUUUCGUUUCUUGUUUUUAUUUUCACUAGUUACGCUUAUGGAAAACUGCACUCUUAGUUCGCUGCUUAGGGAAGGCCGCUUUACCACACCCAUGGUAGAGAACUCUCCUCCACCUACUCAAUGUAUCCCAUUCAAAAUACCACUUGGGAUAAUUGAAAUAAUUAGGAAUGAUUGUUAUGCAGGAGAUGGAACAAUCAAUCCUAGUAUUCAUUUGUUGAAACUUACAGAACUUUGUGAGUUGUUUAAGAUUUCAGGUUUGACAAGAGAUGGAGUCAUGAGGAAAUUAUUUGCCUUGUCACUGAAAGGAAAAGCAUUGGAAUGGUAUAGGCUACUAGAUGAUUCUCACCUAUGGGAUUGGGAAGAUGAUGAUAAUGCUACUUAUGAUCUUGAAAAUCUUUUUGGUACCAACUUCGAAAAUGAUGAUAUGGAAAGCUCUAAGCUUGGGGAUGAUAUGAUUGCAAGUCCUUUACCCAUUAGUGAUGUGAUAAUUGAUAAUUCUUUUGCUAGUAAGAAUAAAGACAAAAUGUUUACAAAUAUACUUGCUAGCAAUAAUAAUGCUCUUCUCUACCACGAUGAUGUUAUAACUCCUAUCUAUAGUGAUUGUAAAGAUACCUAUGACAUAAGGAGAAAUUAUCCAUAUGAAACUGGUCAUAAUCAUGGAGGGAAUUACUCCCUUGCUCAACACCAUCUCGCCAAUACACAACUAAUCUAUAGUGUUCAGGUUGUUUAUGAUAGUCAUACUCCCGCUAUUACCAUUGAGAAAGAUUAUGCAUAUGUUGAGAGUAAGAGUACCUUUUUGCAUGUGGAUCAUGGUGACAAUGCUUUAUGUGAUACUUAUAUUGUUGAGUUUAUUCAUGAUCCCACUGGAAAUUAUUAUGAGAAGGGAACAUAUGCUUAUAGAUAUUUCAAUAAUAUCAAGUUCCCUCUCUUUAUGUUGAAGGUUUUGAAGUUGCACUUGUUUUGCCUUCCUAUGCGCAUUGGUUUGUGCUUCAAUGAAUUAUUCUAUUGCAAUAUUCCCAUGCAUAGGAAGCAUGUUAGACUUAAAUGUGUUUGUUAUUUACUUCUUGAUGCUCUCUUUUGUUCUACAACUCUUAUUCGUACGAGUGCAUCAUUAAAAUAUUAAGCCUAUCUUUAUGGCUAUAAAGAAAGAGCUCUAGGGAGACAACCCUUGUUAUCUUUACUUUGAGUUUUUAAUUUCAGUUUUUAGUAGUCUUGAUGUGCGUUACUACUGUAGCAACAUCAUUAUAUCUGUAUUUUUAAGCUUUGUGCCAAGUUUUAGCCUCCGAUUGCAAGAAAAUCAAAAGUUGUGACAUGUUGUCCAGAAACAGAUUCUCUCUGCUUGACGGAAAAUCACCAAAAAUCACCAGAUAAUCUUUUUGAUCUGAAUUUUUUUGACUGUAUGCCCUAUACAAUUUUAUUUUUGGCAUCUGUUCUGAGUCUUUUGAUUUGAGUUGCAUAAGUGCACUGAAAAAAUUAUUUACUACGUGCUGGUCUAUUUUUCACAGAUUCUGCCACGUUUUGCGUUUUCAUCGUUUUGCAAAUCUUAAGCUUGCUUUUUCUUUGCAAUAUUUUUUGAAAUCUUGAGAAACAAUAGCUCUUCAUGAAAAUCUUUAUUUCCAGUGGAGGAAAAAUAUUUUAUUAUGGGUACUAACCAUUCUAAUCAGCCUAUGAUGAGUUUUGUAUGAAGGGAGUUUUCAAGUAUGCGGUGGAAGAUGAUGAAAGAAGAUCCAGGAGUGUCAAGCACUCAAGCUUGGGGAUGCCCCCAUGCACCCCAAGAAAUAUUCAAGGAGACUCAAGCGUCUAAGCUUGGGGAUGCCCCCGUGCAUCCCCUUCUCCAUCAACAAUCAUUAGUUCGUCCUUCUCCAUGCUAUAUUUUUAUCACUUCAUAUGUUAUGUGCUAUGCUUGGAGUGUCCCGCUCUUUAAUUUUUAGUUUGUCUUGGUUUGCUUGUUGUUCAUAACAAGUUGGACCCUAGCCUUCUUUGUUUGGGAGAGAAACAUGCUCCACUCCACCCUAGAACACAACAUAGGUUCUCAUGGUUAUAUUUGUGUGUGUUAUUUAUCUUUUCACAGCUGUUGUCAUGCUUAGCUCUUAGUUUUCAUGCUUUAUCUUUUUAACAAAUUUUAUUUAGGUUGCUUUUGGAACUCACUUGAGUUAUCAUGCUUAUCUUGUUUAGAGAGUUGGCUUCUUGCACUGAGUUGUGUGUCUUGCAUGAGUAGGUAAUUGAGGUUGCUAUUUAAGUAUAGUAGUAACUUGUAAUAGUUUUGAGGUAUUUAUUUGAGUAAUGUUUGGACUUUUGGUGUCAAGAGCUUGAGCCUAUUAGUGAUAGGUGUCUUAUUUUGGGCAACCCAUUUGUAUUUUCAAAACUAAAAAAAUAGUUGCGAACUCUGGCUACUAGGUGGAACUCAAAUUCAUAUCCAUAUGGACGUAUUUAAUUGGUUUUGCCUUAUACUUAUUUUAACUACUUCAGACCCAAUAAGUUUUGGGACCAUGUUGUACUUAAAUUGUUUUAGGUACAUUGGAGAACCGUUGGGUGUUUGUCUUAUUCAUGAAGGUGGUGGCACUACGAGGAAAUUAGAGAUAAGCUUGGAUAUUCUAUUGAUAUACAACUUCAUACCAAUGCUAUCUCGAUAACAAGUACUCCCUCCAUUCCCUUAUACAAGGCCACUAUGGAAAAUACAUUUUGCAUCUAUACAAGGCACCGACAGUAAUCGAGGUAACAUUAAUGAUGUUUCCUCAUACUAGCAACUUGUUUAAUAAUUGUGUGCAUGUAUUCAUAAUGACACUUGACUACUUUCUUCUCACUCAUUCGUUACAUGCAUGCAGCGUAUUAAUGAUUCUAGUUAACAAAAAGAAAACUUGACUUUCUAACCGAUCAUUAAAUUUUGCCUUGGUACCCGUAAUAUGAGUUUGUGGCCUUGUAUAAGGGAAUGGAGGAGUAUCUAAUUCAUGCAUAUAUAGAGAAAUGGGUUCAACCCUGUGUAGGUUUCAUCAUGGCAUGAUUAACAUUUGUUUAAAAGUCGUGCUUCUUGCAUGUUGUUAAAAAAUAAGGCUACUUUAUUUCAAAUGUGAGUCAUUUGAGUAGAAGCAUAUAAUGGGGUUCUAUAAAAUCAUAUUCAUGAUUCACUUAUCCUAAAACAUGCCAAUUAAGCAAUUCAUUGCAUAUCAAUUCAUAGAAUGUCCCCUCGUGUGUAAUUUUGAUGAAAUUGCAAAAGCACUAUAUUUUCUUGUGGUAUUUGCUACCUUACUUAGUAAUUCAUUGUUAUGCAAACGAUAUCAAUUUGUACCAUGUGCCUUGCUCUUAUCGUAGGAUCACAAUUGUAUAAUAAUGGAUUCACUUGUGCAUACUUGUUCUUGUCAAUUGUGAAUAUUUUGUGUAUGCAAGUUUCCUUAUGGAUACAUAGACCACUAUUUUCCAUUUAGAAAAUUUAAUACAUAAGAAAGUUCAUAUCUUUCCUUGAUAUCAUUUACACCUUGUCGAUCACUUGGUUGUUUCCUUUUCGAUUCUUUGGUAGUCUUGGUAGGAGGUUGUGAAGUGAGUGCGUGUAUGUUUUGCAUAUAAUCUUGGGCACUCAUGUGUUUUGAAUGUAUUCUCGACCCAUAUUUAUCAUCAUGAUCGAACUGGACAUCUCGACCCAUGGUUAGGAGGAUAGUGAUAUCUUGUGUCCGCUACAGUUCAAGUAUGAGACUUGAUAUUGGUGCUCGCAGUUCUUUGUUUUUUUCAGUCCUUACGGCGAUGCGCGUUCAGUGAUAGGAGACAUUCCCGUGGACUAUGAAGAUGUCAAUGGCGACUUCGUUAAUAUCAAGAUGACAUGUCGGCUCUGUCUCCCAGAGAUGUUUAUAGUGAGGAUAUGCGUGCUGCGCGUCGGUAUGAACGCCCAAGGUGGUUCACUCUUAAAUUCUUGAAGGACCCGAUUGUAAUUUUUACAUCUUGUGGGGUGCUUUGUAUACCUCCCCGUUGUAUCUCACACGUGGAAGAGAAAAAGAACUAUCGUGACACGUUCACCGUGGACAUUUGCCCGUCUACUUAUCCCUUGCUUGAAAUCAAUGUAAAUAAAACACAUGUAUUUCUGUAUUUUUUACAAGUGUAUUUAAAAUGAAAACGACGUUCCAAACAAGGACUUAGCGUGAAUUUUUUUUUUGAUCCCGCCCACAAUUCAUUUUCCUUCGAGACGAUCCCGCCCAUAAAUCCCGCCAUGCCCACCGAUCCGCUCCCCAACGCAUCCCGUCCGUCCAUCCAAAGCGGGGCGAACCGCCUCACACCGCUCCACGUCACCAAUCCGCGGCACCAGCCCAUCCACCAAUCAGCGCGCACCGCCUCCCAGCUAUAAAACCACCACCCCUCCUCCUCCUUUCCCCACAGCAACCGAAAUUCCCCAACCUCUCCCGCACCCAACCCUAAUCCCCACCCCCGCAGCCACCUACCCCGACCCCAUGGCGCCCAAGGCCGAGAAGAAGCCGGCGGCGAAGAAGCCCGUGGAGGAGGAGCCGGCCGCGGAGAAGGCCGAGAAGGCGCCCGCCGGGAAGAAGCCCAAGGCCGAGAAGCGGCUGCCUUCCGCCGGCAAGACCUCCGCCAAGGACGGCGACAAGAAGGCCAAGAAGAAGAACAAGAAGAGCGUGGAGACGUACAAGAUCUACAUCUUCAAGGUGCUCAAGCAGGUCCACCCCGACAUCGGCAUCUCCUCCAAGGCCAUGUCCAUCAUGAACUCCUUCAUCAACGACAUCUUCGAGAAGCUCGCCGGCGAGGCCGCCAAGCUCGCGCGCUACAACAAGAAGCCCACCAUCACCUCCCGCGAGAUCCAGACCUCCGUCCGCCUCGUCCUCCCCGGGGAGCUCGCCAAGCACGCGGUCUCCGAGGGCACCAAGGCCGUCACCAAGUUCACCUCCUCUUAGGUUCGCCCGCCCGCCCG